AUACACUACCCAAUAUAGCAAGGAAAUAUUUGUACAUGUACUUAAACAAAUAUUAAUAAUCAAAUUUAUAACCUUCAGCCAUUGGAAUGCUUCUUGUUGCUUCUAUUGUUCAGUAUUCACUUUGUCAGGUUUGAGGAUGAAGUAGUUUCUAUAAGCAAGUUCUUGAAAUUUAUAGAGGAAGAAGAAGCACAGCACAUGACUUUUAAU
rnacentral:lncRNA from 1 species